rnacentral:rRNA from 1 species
AUUGAACGCUGGCGGCAGGCCUAACACAUGCAAGUCGAGCGAGCGGCGGACGGGUGAGUAAUGUAUGGGGACUGCCCGAUAGAGGGGGAUAACUACUGGAAACGGUAGCUAAUACCGCAUACUAUCGGAUAAACCAUAUGGGAUUAGCUAGUAGGUGAGGUAAUGGCUAACCUAGGCGACGAUCCCUAGCUGGUCUGAGAGGAUGAUCAGCCACGCGGGGACUGAUACAAGGCCCAGACUCCUUCGGAGGCAGAAGUGGUUAAUAUUGACCAAGGGGCGAUAGCGUGAUGCAGCCAGGCCGCGUGUAUGAAGAAGGCCCUAGGGUUGGAAAGUACGUUCAGUCUGGAGGCGUUACCGACAGAAGAAGCACCGGCGAAAUCCGUGCCAGCCGCCGCGGUAAUAC